AUCGCAUCCUGGGGCGGUAGUACGUCCCAAGGGUUGGGCUGUUCGCCCAUGAAAGCGGUACGCGAGCUGGGUUCAGAACGUCGUGAGACAGUUCGGUCCAUAUCCGGUGUAGGCGUUAGAAUAUUGAGAGGAGCCUUCUUUAGUACGAGAGGACCGAGAAGGACAUACCUCUGGUGUACCAGUUAUCGUGCCAACGGUAAACGCUGGGUAGCUAUGUAUGGAGUGGAUAACCGCUGAAAGCAUCUAAGUGGGAAGCCCACCUCAAGAUGAGUAUUCUCAAAGCAAUAAUAAGG
rnacentral:rRNA from 1 species